rnacentral:rRNA from 1 species
UACAGAGGUGCCAAGCGUUGUUCGGAUUUAUUGGGCGUAAAGAGCUCGUAGGCGGUUCGUCGCGUCGGCUGUGAAAACCCGGAGCUCAACUCCGGGCCUGCAGUCGAUACGGGCGGACUUGAGUGUUGCAGGGGAGACUGGAAUUCCUGGUGUAGCGGUGAAAUGCGCAGAUAUCAGGAGGAACACCGGUGGCGAAGGCGGGUCUCUGGGCAACUACUGACGCUGAGGAGCGAAAGCGUGGGGAGCGAACAGG